rnacentral:tRNA from 2 species
GGGGGUAUAGCUCAGUUGGUAGAGCGCUUGCAUGGCAUGCAAGAGGUCAGCGGUUCGAUUCCGCUUACCUCCA